rnacentral:rRNA from 1 species
GACGAAUGCUGGCGGCGUGCUUAACACAUGCAAGUCGAACGGAGAUUCAGCAAUGGUUCUUAGUGGCGAACGGGUGAGUAACACGUAGGCAAUCUGCCUUCUAGAUGGGGACAACAUCCCGAAAGGGGUGCUAAUACCGAAUGUUGUACCGUUUCCGCAUGGAGAUGAUACUAAAGGUGGCCUCUGAAUAUGCUACCGCUAGAAGAUGAGCCUGCGUCUGAUUAGCUAGUUGGAGGGGUAACGGCCCACCAAGGCUUCGAUCAGUAGCCGGUCUGAGAGGAUGAACGGCCACACUGGGACUGAGACACGGCGCAGACUCCUACGGGAGGCAGCAGUGGGGAAUCUUCCGCAAUGGACGAAAGUCUGACGGAGCAACGCCGCGUGAGUGAAGAAGGUUUUCGGAUCGUAAAGCUCUUUCGUUAGGGACGAACGUGCUCUUUGUGAAUAAUGAGGAGUAAUGACGGUACCUAAAUAAGAAGCCCCGGCUAACUACGUGCCAGCAGCCGCCGUAA